rnacentral:rRNA from 1 species
GACGAACGCUGGCGGCGUGCUUAACACAUGCAAGUCGAACGGAAAGGCCCUGCUUUUGUGGGGUGCUCGAGUGGCGAACGGGUGAGCAACACGUGAGUAACCUGCCCUUGACUUUGGGAUAACUUCAGGAAACUGGGGCUAAUACCGGAUAGGAGCUCCUGCUGCAUGGUGGGGGUUGGAAAGUUUCGGCGGUUGGGGAUGGACUCGCGGCUUAUCAGCUUGUUGGUGGGGUAGUGGCUUACCAAGGCUUUGACGGGUAGCCGGCCUGAGAGGGUGACCGGCGACAUUGGGACUGAGAUACGGCCCAGACUCCUACGGGAGGCAGCAGUGGGGAAUAUUGCACAAUGGGCGGAAGCCUGAUGCAGCAACGCCGCGUGCGGGAUGACGGCCUUCGGGUUGUAAACCGCUUUCGCCUGUGACGAAGCGUGAGUGACGGUAAUGGGUAAAGAAGCACCGGCUAACUACGUG